UCCUGGGGAUAGCUCAGUUGGUGGUGCACAAGACUCUUAAUCUCAGGGUUGUGGGUUUGAGCCCCAGGUUAGGCA